CAGUCGCCGCGGGAAUACGAAGGGGGCUAGCGUUGUUCGGAAUUACUGGGCGUAAAGCGCACGUAGGCGGAUAUUUAAGUCAGGGGUGAAAUCCCGCAGCUCAACUGCGGAACUGCCUUUGAUACUGGGUAUCUUGAGUAUGGAAGAGGUUAGUGGAAUUGCGAGUGUAGAGGUGAAAUUCGUAGAUAUUCGCAGGAACACCAGUGGCGAAGGCGGCUAACUGGUCCAUAACUGACGCUGAGGUGCGAAAGCGUGGGGAGCAAACAGGAUUAGAUACCCCAGUAGUCCCUGUCUCUUAUAC
rnacentral:rRNA from 1 species